rnacentral:rRNA from 1 species
GACGUAGGGCGCGAGCGUUGUCCGGAUUUAUUGGGCGUAAAGAGCUCGUAGGCGGUUUGUCGCGUCGUUCGUGAAAACUCACAGCUUAACUGUGAGCUUGCGGUCGAUACGGGCAGGCUAGAGUUCGGUAGGGGAGACUGGAAUUCCUGGUGUAGCGGUGAAAUGCGCAGAUAUCAGGAGGAACACCGAUGGCGAAGGCGGCAUCCUGGACCGGUAUUGACGCUGAGGCGCGAAAGCUAGGGGAGCAAACGGG